AUGGGAUUGCCCAUGUCAAAUCAGAGCAAGCCAGUGACCAUUGUUGUUGGGUCUCGUGUCUGGGUGGAGGACGCGGAAUUGAUUUGGAUUGAUGGAGAAGUAGUCAAGAUUAAUGGAGAGGAAGCUGAGAUUCAGAUUAGCGAUCAGAAUACGGUUACUGCAAAGGUGUAUAAGUUACACCCAAAAGAUACAGAAACUCCUGAUGGUGGAGUUGAUGACAUGACUAAGUUGUCAUAUUUGCAUGAACCUGGAGUGCUUUACAAUCUGGCAACCAGAUAUGAGAUUGAUGAAAUCUAUACUUACAGUGGAAACAUUCUCAUCGCUGUCAAUCCAUUCCGAACUCUCUCACAUCUGUAUGAUGAUUCUAUGAUGAAACGGUACAAUCAAGUGCCAUUUGGAGAACUUAGCCCUCAUGUUUUUGCAGUAGCUGAUGCUGCAUACAGGGAAAUGGUUAACGAGGGAAAGAGCAACUCUAUUCUGGUCAGCGGUGAAAGCGGGGCUGGUAAGACUGAAACAACGAAAAUGCUAAUGCGCUAUCUUGCCUACUUGGGUGGCAAUGCUGCAGCUGAAGGACGGACUGUUGAACAACAAGUUUUAGAAUCAAAUCCAGUUCUCGAAGCAUUUGGUAAUGCCAAGACUGUUAAAAAUAACAAUUCCAGCCGCUUUGGGAAGUUUGUCGAGAUUCAAUUUGAUAAUCGUGGUAGAAUAUCAGGGGCAGCCAUCAGAACUUAUCUCUUAGAGAGAUCUCGUGUGUGCCAAAUAUCUGACUUUGAGCGUAACUAUCACUGUUUUUAUCUCCUGUGUGCCGCUCCAGAGAAGGAAAGAGAGAAAUAUAAGUUGGUGGAUCCUCAAUCAUAUCGCUAUCUUAAUCAAUCAAGUUGCUUUGAGUUGGCUGAUAUCGAUGAUGCUCAGUUUUAUCUCUCCACUAGGAGAGCCAUGAAUGUUAUUGGAAUAAGCGAAGAAGAACAGGAAGCUAUUUUCAGAGUUGUGGCAGGAAUUCUUCAUCUUGGAAAUAUUGAUUUUGCCAAUGGGAAAGACAAUGAUUCCUCCGUCAUAAAAGAUGACCAAUCCAUUUUUCAUCUUAAAAUGGCAGCAGAACUUCUCAUGUGUGAUCCUGGCACACUAGAAGACGCACUCUGUAAGCGCGUAAUGAUAACUCCAGAAGAAAUUAUUAAAAGAAGUCUUGACCCACUUGGUGCAGCAAUUAGCAGAGAUGGUUUGGCCAAGACAAUAUAUUCUCUAUUGUUUAGCUGGUUGGUGGAUAAAAUCAAUGUCUCAAUUGGACAAGACCCUAGCUCAGAGUGUUUGAUCGGGGUUCUUGAUAUAUAUGGUUUUGAAAGCUUCAAAACUAACAGUUUUGAGCAGUUCUGUAUUAAUUACACUAAUGAAAAGCUGCAACAACAUUUCAACAAGCAUGUCUUCAAGUCGGAACAAGAGGAAUAUACCAAAGAGGAAAUUGACUGGAGCUACAUAGAAUUUGUUGAUAACAAAGAUGUUCUAGAUCUCAUUGAACAGAAAAAAGGUGGGAUCAUUGCUCUGCUCGAUGAAGCCUGUAUGUUUCCGAAAUCAACUCAUGAAACAUUUUCAACAAAGCUUUAUCAGACAUUUAAAAAUAACAAACGGUUCAUCAAGCCAAAGCUGACCCGGUCUGAUUUCACCAUUGUUCAUUAUGCAGGAGAAGUACAAUAUCAAUCUGAUCAAUUUUUAGACAAAAAUAAAGAUUAUGUUGUUCCUGAACAUCGAGAUUUGUUGACUGCUUCAAAAUGCUCCUUUGUAGCGGGUCUUUUUCCUCCGGUCUCUGAGGAGGCUGCCAAAUCUUCUAAGUUCUCUUCUAUCAGUUCUCGUUUUAGGCAACAACUGCAACAAUUGAUGGAAACUCUAAAUUCUACAGAGCCCCACUACAUAAGAUGUAUAAAGCCAAAUAAUCUCCGAAGACCUGCGGUAUUUGAGAAUGUCAAUGUCAUCCAGCAACUGCGUUCGGGUGGAGUUUUAGAGGCAGUCAGAAUAAAAUGUGCUGGAUUCCCUACUUACAGGAAUUUUUCGGAAUUUUUAACUCGCUUCCGUAUCCUAGCACCAGAGGUCUUGAAAAUGGAGUGUCCUGAAAGUGAAGCAUGUAAAAAGAUUUUGGAGAAGAUGGGGCUAACAGGUUAUCAGAUAGGGAAAACAAAGGUUUUUUUAAGAGUUGGUCAGAUGGCUGUGCUGGAUGCACAGAGAAUACUCAUGCAUGGGAACUCAGCGAAGGUGAUUCAAACACGGGGCAGAACUCUUGUUACUCGAAAAAAGUUUGUUAGUACACAGAUGGCUUCUAUUUGCAUACAAUCAGUUUGUAGAGGAGAAUUGGCUCGCAAGUUAUAUAAGCUGAAGAAACUGGAGGUUGCUGCAGUUAAAAUUCAGAAGACUUCACGUACACGCCUGGCAAGAAAAGAUUAUCUCAGAUCAAAAUCCAUGUUCUCCUUAAUUGUCUAACAGUCAGGUUUACGCGCCAUGGCUGCUCGUGAUGAUUUUAGAUAUAAAGUAGAGGCGGCAGUUGUUAUUCAGACAGCUUUAAGGGCAAUGGCUGCUGGUGAUGAUUUUAGAUAUAAAGUAGAGGCGGCAGUUGUUAUUCAGGCAGCUUUAAAGGGAAUGGCUGCUCGUGAUGCCUUUAGAGAAAGAGCAAAAUUCAUUGCAGAAGUUAUUACUGAACAGACUGACAUGGAAGUAGAAGAGGCAACAAAGUUGGAGUCCUUUGUGAAAGAUAUGACUGACAUGGAAGAAGCAGAAGUAGAAGAGGGAACAAAGUUGGAGUCCUCUGUGAAAGAUACGAAUGGCCAAGAAGCAAAAGGAGUAGAGUCAAUAGAGUUGGAGUCCUCCGUGAAAGUUGAAGAAAAAAGUGUAUUGGUUGAGAGUCAGUCUGAAGCAAUAGAAAUUGAUGAAACAUGUGCAAUGACCAAAAAACUAACAGGUUCAGAUCAAGAUGCUGACAAAAUUGAGAUUCUUGCUGCACAAGUCGAAAAAUUGAAGGUCAUGUUGCAAGCAGAAAAACAUAGAGCUAAUGAGUUUGAAAGGAGAUACCUAGAAGCCCGGGUAUCAAGCGAGGAAGGACAUAAAAAAUUAGAGGAAACUGAGAGAAUAGUGCAUCAACUUCAGGACUCUUUGAACAGGAUGAUAUAUGGCAUGUCAAACCAAGUUUCGGAGCUCAAAACAAUUUUGUGUACUGCAUCAAAAUCAACUUCAGCUUUGGGGCCUCUUGCUAGACAUGAAGGAGUUGAUAGCAUUUCCAGUAACUCUGAAUGUUCAUCCUGUGACUCAGAUUUUACUUUUCCAGCUCCAGUUUCAACUUCAACUACCCUUUCUUCCCCAGGCCCCAGUUAUGUCCCGCUUGUAGUUCAGGACGUUUCUGCUGGAGAUGUUUCAGGUUAGUUUAGUUGUGUUUUGAUUUUCUGGCCAUAUGUACCUCAUAAAUCAGAACGAUCUUUAAAGUUUUGAAUUGAGUUUGGUGAUGUGUAAGUGAUUGUACUAAAGACAAUGAUCGUAUGAUACAUAAUUUGUAUUGUGUGUCCAUGGUGAAAUUACUUGGGCAGCAAUUAAGCACAAUCUAGAUCAUCUUGUUCCCUCUUUUUGUAGAGUUACAUUCUACUAAAUUCUUGUGACAAAAGCACCGAAUCUGUCUGAUUCUUAUGAGUUUCCAGAAGAGAUCCUUGUCCAGCAAUCACUUACUUGCACAUCAUUUUUGUCGUUGCAACUUGGAUUAUAACGGUUUUUGUUUAGAAGUUGCACUUUAUGAGUUCUGUUUCAUUAGUUUAUGUUUUUCUUUCCCUCUUGAUGAUACAUUUUGCAGGACCUGAAAGU